GUUCAUUUCAACAGCACAUAUACUAAAGUUUGAGUGAUACAUGAAAGAUUAGUAUGGUGCCUGUGCAAGGAUGACACACACAUUUAUAAAGCAUUCAUAUUUCUU